GCGCAGGCCCACUCUCCGGAGCCUGCCGACAAGGGGGCCAGCCCGAACACUUCCGGAAACUGCCGAGGAACUGUCAGUACAAGUCGCCCUUGCCAUUUAGACGAUGAACGGAUCUACCAGAGACCUAAGAUUCAGGACGAGAUCGCAGAGCCGAGAGGGUCCGAAAGUGCCUCGAGAAUCUCCGGAAUGUCCCGAAUGGCACUCGGCUGAUUUCGACUGUCCCUAGAGCAUUUUCCGGUAACCUCCGAUAUUCCUCAAGGUGUCUCAGGAAACUGAGACCGUUCUGAGAUUUCGGCCAUUUGAUGUUCCUAAGUUUCCAAAAGCUCCCGACCAUCCCUCGGGAGGUUCCGAAAGUCCGCGAAUGCUGUUCUAUGAAGAUUACAGAGACCAAGUUGGCUUUGGCUGCCACUGAAUCCCCAGUGCCUAGAAUGAUGCUGGUCACCAAGUACAAGCUGUAUAAAUAUUUGGCCCAGGCUAGAGCCUUAGCCAAAGCACCUCAUGAAUGUGGAUGGACUUACAGGAGUGAAGCCAGGGGAACUAAACCGGGGAAUAAAAGCUACUGCCUGUGGGAUACUAAGAAAUGUGCUUUUAUUAGAGCAUCUCAAAAGACAAAAGAAGGAUCACCACAAUUUUGAGUCAUGGGUCUUACCUAUCUCCAAGGCCCUUGGUCGUUUGUUUCACCCUCAGCCACCUCUGUGGUGACCAACUCAACUUGGAUGGAUCCUGCUCAGCUACCAGCAUGGUGACCAACUUUACACAGACUCAACACAAUAGCAUCUCACCUCAUGCACGUACCACAAGCCUCCUGCCUCCCACCCUAGAGCUUUCCUAUUGCUACUGAAGCAUGAGAUACCAUGGACAUUGCCUACACUUGCCUAACCCAGAAGUGCAGGGGAAGUAAUGUCCCCUGGGGUAAACCCUUGACCAAUCAGAGAUGGGAGCCACCAAAGAAAUCUCAUUUCCUGCAAUGGUGAUAAGGUGUCUUGAGAUGCAGUAGCUCAUAUGGUCUCUCUGAGGACAGGCCCAUGGGAUUGGCUAGUGCACCUGCCAGCAGGCAGUAGCCAGCCCCUUGUUCCUGCCUUUCCCUUCUGCUGCCUCACUUCUGUGUCCCCUUGGGCCUGAUUCCCUGGGAUUGCACUCCCCAGGAAAGGAUAAAAGCCUUUAAGUCAGGCUGUAUUUUUUGUAGAACCUGGGCUAUGAUACUGUAUGUCAAGUUAGUGGUGCAACCACAGAGAAAAUAACAAAUUCAAGUGAAUUUAAAACAGUAAUGUCUGUAUGUUCCCUAUAGGUUAUGUUCUAAGAACAAAAAGAACAAAGAGAUUUUAAAUGGUUUUAGGUAAUCAUAGUGUCAGUAAUAAUAUUGAUACUGUUAUUUUAAAACUGUAUAUACAGCACAUAUACAUGUGUGUGUAUGUAUGUAUGUAUAUAUAUAUAUAAACACACAUAGUAGUCCCUCAUUAUCCAUGGGGAUCCAUUCCAAGACCCCUAGUGAGUACCUGAAAACCAUAGAUAGUACUGAACCCAAUUCCCAUCAAUCUGGAACAUGUUUUUGUUCAUGUGUCUCACAAAUGUAAGGCAUUUUUCAUCUUAACUAAGCACUUAACACUCACUGUGGCUGUAAUUUUUGCAGUUUGAGGUGCGACAGCAAAACUGUCAUGAAUUUCUUUUUCCUUCUUCACAAUUUCCCAGAUAAAAGAUUAAUGCUUACCAUAGAUCUUAGCAACCUCAGUGUAUCAUUUUUUUUCUUUCCUUAUUAAGUGCAGAUCUUUCACCUUUCCA